UUCACCAGAACAUAAAAAAAAAUGGAGAGGAGAUACCAGGGCAGCUGGAACAUAAACAUGAUGGUGGAUUACUGGUGGACCCUGACUGCAAGCAACUACAAAAAGUUGAAAGAAAAUCAAAAAAGGAAAAAAAGAAAGUUUGAAAAGGAGUAAAAUUACUUUAAAGCCAUGGAGCUCCAGGACACACAAUAUCAACAAGUUUGUCAAUUGUUCAGUGACAGUCCUCCAAGCCAUCACAAAAAUCGACGAACAGGGGAGAGGCACUGCAAAACAAAGACGCACCACAUGGCACUACGACUCCAUUCAAUGACACCAGUUGGCAGACUCAUGCCUGAGAGUUGCACCAAGUGGCUUCUAGCAGCAGAAGCCUGAAUUACUCUGGGCUUGCUCCACAGAGAACGUUUCCUGUUACUUUUGGGUACCUCCUCGUUUAUGUAUUUUUGGAAAUAUUAAAUUUGGUGAUAACAGAAACAAUUGUC